UACGGAGGGGGCUAGCGUUGUUCGGAAUUACUGGGCGUAAAGCGCACGUAGGCGGCUUUGUAAGUUAGAGGUGAAAGCCCAGGGCUCAACCCUGGAAUUGCCUUUAAGACUGCAUCGCUUGAACAUCGGAGAGGUAAGUGGAAUUCCGAGUGUAGAGGUGAAAUUCAUAGAUAUUCGGAAGAACACCAGUGGCGAAGGCGACUUACUGGACGAUUGUUGACGCUGAGGCGCGAAAGCGUGGGGAGCAAACAGG
rnacentral:rRNA from 1 species